UACGUAGGGCGCAAGCGUUGUCCGGAAUUAUUGGGCGUAAAGAGCUCGUAGGCGGUUUGUCGCGUCUGCUGUGAAAACUCGAGGCUCAACCUCGGGCUUGCAGUGGGUACGGGCAGACUAGAGUGCGGUAGGGGUGACUGGAAUUCCUGGUGUAGCGGUGGAAUGCGCAGAUAUCAGGAAGAACACCCGUGGCGAAGGCGGCUCUCUGGGACGGUACUGACGCUGAGACGCGAAAGCGUGGGGAGCAAACAGG
rnacentral:rRNA from 1 species